UGUGACUACCAUUUCCUAUUACAAUCAUUUGACCCAGCCUGGCUCUCAUUUUUCUAUGCUCAAAGGAAAUCAGAAAGUUUGAGUGAAAUUUCUGUCACCAAAACUCAAAAUGGUCUCACUGACAAGCUGGAUUCCUGUCUACAUAACUGUUCUUCUUCACUUACAUAUCUGGAAAGCAAGGGUUCAUGCCUCUGGAACAUCUGAAGAGGAUGGAGUAGAUAUCACAUACGUUAUCAUAGGAGUUACUCUUGGAGCCAUUUUAGCUAUUGGUUUUAUAGCAUUAAAGAUCUGUAUGAUCAAAAGACAAUUGAUUGACAAUAUCCUUGGAGAGUCAGAAGGGAAAAUGGAACGAAGGUAUUUCCUUCUGCUGACUUUACUAGGUCUUCUGGACUUGCCUGUAAAACAUAGCUUUGCUCCUAUGGGUCACUGCCUUCUGGCAUGUUUUCACUCUACUGACCAACAUUUCAGCAUGUGAAAUUAAUUUGAGUAUGUAUUAUGUGCCAUCUUCGGGAUAGAAUCAGAGCUGUUCAACCGUGUGUCACUGACCCUAUACUACGAAGACCAAAUGAAGGUUUUUAAUAGGUCAAGUGGUAAAGGGCUGUGCUUUUCCAAAAAGAGCAUCCCUGUUCUGUUCCUCAGCACUGUAACCCUCUUGGUACUGAGCUCCAAAUAAAAGCAAAUGUCCUAUAUGCA
rnacentral:lncRNA from 1 species